rnacentral:lncRNA from 1 species
AAAAGUCCAAGAUUACCUCAUUUAGCCAAAGAUUGAAUGACUUGUGUAUGGUUUUUCUUGAAGGUUCCAUUUGGAUGAAUCUCAUUACCAUUUCCCAUUUCCAAUUGCAUGAAUUCAUGACACACUUUCAGCAUUGCUCAUGAUCAAUUUUGGACCUUUUGGCAUCAUUUCAUGGGCCUAUCACAUGCCCGUGCAUCCAUGCAAGUGAGAAUUACUAUUUUUG